rnacentral:rRNA from 1 species
CGGCGACGCCGAGCGGAACCCGAAAGCCGUUCUCAGUUCGGAUCGGAGUCUGCAACCCGACUCCGUGAAGCUGGAUUCGCUAGUAAUCGCGCAUCAGCCAUGGCGCGGUGAAUACGUUCCCGGGCCUUGUACACACCGCCCGUCAAGCCAUGGGAGCCGGGGGUGCUUGAAGUGCGUCGCCGCGAGGCGCGCCCUAGAGCAAAACCGGUGACUGGGGCUAAGUCGUAACAAGGUAUC